GGGAGAUUAAAGCUCAAUGACAGUGGUUCCUGUAAGUCAGGGUUGAUAGGGAACAAGUUGCACUGUCCAUGUUGCGCCAUCAGCUGAUCCACGAGAACCAAGGCUACAAUGGCUUCCACCAUCGGCAGCUCUGCAUCGUCCAAAUCAAA